GAUGAAGAACGCAGCGAAAUGCGAUAAGUAAUGUGAAUUGCAGAAUUCAGUGAAUCAUCGAAUCUUUGAACGCACAUUGCGCCCGCCAGUAUUCUGGCGGGCAUGCCUGUCCGAGCGUCAUUUCAACCCUCAGGCCCUGGUUGCCUGGUGUUGGGGCGCCGCGCACCCUCUGCGGGCGCGGGCCCCGAAAGUCAGUGGCGGGCUCGCCAGGACUCCGAGCGCAGUAAUUUUCUCUCGCUGUGGAGCGCCUGGUGGGUUACCAGCCGUAAAACACCCCAAAUUCCAAAGGUUGACCUCGGAUCAGGUAGGAAUACCCGCUGAACUUAAGCAUAUCAUAAGCGGAGGA
rnacentral:misc_RNA from 1 species